GUUUGUUGCAGUUUAUCGACUGAUGAUGUUCACAUAUCAACGUGCACGAAAGGAGUAGCUAGGGUAUUUCCUUGAGUGCCAAGUAAGAUGUGUAGACUGUGUUAGACGCACUACUAAGACAGUGAAUGUGCUGAAUGGCACUUCGUGUUUCAUGGGUAUCCCAACUUGUAAAAGUGGAUGGUGCAGACUUUAGAUACUUCGGUAUACGUUCGAUUAAUGGGAAAUCAUAAAAGGAG